rnacentral:tRNA from 1 species
UACUUUGUAACUCAGUUGGUAGAGUACCAGCCUUUUAAGCUGGGAGUCGUCAACGGUCGGCCGCUGCCGUUCGAACCUGACCAGAGUAA